rnacentral:tRNA from 1 species
GUCUCUGUGGCACAACUGGUUAGUGCAUUUGACUGUUAACUAAAAGGCUUCGUGGUUCAAGCACACUCAGGGAUG